AACGCAGAGGCCCAAGAUGACAGCAGGACAUGCCGAACCCUAACGGAAGUGAUCCAGAUUUGCCUCAGCAAAGCAGAGAAACACGAAGCCAGAGCUUCCCAGGUCCCCCAGCUGACGCCAGGAUCCUGGGCCAACGCAGCGCCUCCCCUGCCUCCCUUGCCUGCCCUUCUCCACCAGGCCUGGGGACCUGGCGCUCAGAGUGAUGGAG
rnacentral:lncRNA from 1 species